rnacentral:misc_RNA from 1 species
AUCCCUCAAUCCCUUCAUUUUAUUCUAAAUGUUGUGGUGUUGGAUGCUGAGCGCUGCUGUGUUGUACAGCUCGCUUUAAAUGUAUAAGCAAUCUCUGUACUGCUCGGAUUGACUUGACGUGAUAAGAUAUUCGUCAAGGAUGCUUCUCAGCAGCCGGAUGGUACAAGAGUCGCUACCAACCUGCACUUGUGCAUUUCUAAAU